rnacentral:rRNA from 1 species
UACGUAGGGUGCAAGCGUUGUCCGGAAUUAUUGGGCGUAAAGAGCUCGUAGGCGGUUUGUCGCGUCUGCUGUGAAAACGCGAGGCUCAACCUCGCGCCUGCAGUGGGUACGGGCAGACUAGAGUGCGGUAGGGGAGAUUGGAAUUCCUGGUGUAGCGGUGGAAUGCGCAGAUAUCAGGAGGAACACCAGUGGCGAAGGCGGUUGCCUGGGGCUUUGCUGACGCUGAUGCGCGAAAGCGUGGGGAGCGAUCCGG